rnacentral:rRNA from 1 species
AGUGAACGCUGGCGGCGUGCUUAACACAUGCAAGUCGAACGAGAACGGAUUAUAGCUUGCUAUAAUUGUCAGCUAAGUGGCGCACGGGUGAGUAAUGUAUAGGUAAUAUGCCUCUUACUAAGGGAUAACAAAUGGAAACGUUUGCUAAUACCUUAUACUCCUUAUUAACAGAAGUUAAUAAGGGAAAGAUUUAUUGGUAAGAGAUUAGCCUGUAUUGUAUCAGUUAGUUGGUGGGGUAAUGGCCUACCAAGACUAUGACACAUAACUGGUUUGAGAGGAUGAUCAGUCACACUGGAACUGAGACACGGACCAGACUCCUACGGGAGGCAGCAGUGGGGAAUAUUGCACAAUGGACGAAAGUCUGAUGCAGCAACGCCGCGUGGAGGAUGACACAUUUCGGUGCGUAAACUCCUUUUAUAUGAGAAGAUAAUGACGGUAUUAUAUGAAUAAGCACCGGCUAACUCCGUGCCAGCAGCCGCAGUAACAC